rnacentral:misc_RNA from 1 species
UGGCACACGGCGCAUACACUAACCGAACGAGAGACACUUAUAUACUCCGCUCACGCACACGCACACACUUGCUAAGCAAACGGCUGCCCCAAUCUCGCGCGUUAACACAGGGUGCUAGGGAGAGCGACGGCAUUUCUCGUGAGUGGAGGGCGGCUUGCAGAGGAUCAACUCUACCAAGAGAGGGACAGAGCGAAGGCUACGCACCUGCUUGCUACUGCUGCUGCUGCUGCUCAUUCAUUCCUCUUGCUUCUCAGAGCGUCAUACGCAGCCCUUCCACCUCCUCGCUCCGUCCCUCUUACUCAGCAUACGCGUCCACACGCACACGAACAUGGGCACACGACUUCACUUUACGGUGGGCCGCGUCUGCCUCGCCAUUGUUGGCGUGCACCUCGCCAUGUCCUCCUCCCUUUUUCUCUGCUCAGCCGUUCUUCACGACCGCGCGUUUGAGCAGCACUGGGACUAUAGUAAACCCACCCUGCGAAAGCGGACGCACUACUUUGACUUCUGGAGAUCCGCCUUCUACUCCCCUGUGCUCUCAAGAGAAGAGCGCGAGUGCCUCGACGUGUGGCUGAGCAUUCUAGCGGUGCAUUCACCAAUGUUUGCCACGAUUCAACUCUCUCCGAAGGCGAUCCUGCAGGACUCGAUGGCGAUGCUGCAGGGCGUUAGCGAACUUCGCGAUGGCGUCUACCUUCUCGAGAAGUUGCCGAUCCGCGUAGAGCCGUAUUUGCAAGAGAUUCGCCGCGAGAUACAGGACGAAGUUGUCUUCUUGCACGGCAAAACCCGCACCGACAUCUACCUUAUCGUUCCCUUCACGAGCUACUCGAUUCCGCUCUUUGUCUUUCCAGCCUCCUUUACUUUGCAGCUCGAGCGUACCCACACAAACGGUCACCUGCACAUCACCACGGCGGAGCAUCGCUGGUUUAGCGGAUUGAUCUGCUCCCACCAGACCAACUCCGUGGCAUCGCCGUGGGGGGAUGUGGGGGACCUGUGCCGCCGCUACAAUGGCUUUCUGUGGUCGCUAAUGGUGACCAAGAAAAUCUCACUGGACGAGCGACGGCGCGCACUGGCGACGAGGGCCGCAGAGAUCGAGGCUGAUUUGAGGGAGCAGCAGGAGCGGCAGAUCAGCAUGUAGGAUGCAGGACGAAGCACGCACGCACGCACACACACACACACACACAUGCACAUGCACAUGCACAGAAAACGGACAGGUGAAGAAGGGCAGAGGAUGCGCAGGGAGUGGAGUACAUGACUGCAGCGCAAGCAUGCGCUUAUCGUAGCAGGUGAUCUCUGUACUUUGUGUUGUGCAAAUCUGCGCUGGUGUCUGGGACGGGAAAGCCUCUGCAUAGGCAAGGGCCAGCGCACAGCGCUAUUAUGGCCUCGCUCUACCGUUUGCGCAACUACCGCGCGCCCGCCUUACAGCGCCGACGGAGCGCGUGCCCGACUCGCGUCUCACAGCUACACAUUCGUGCACUUGCCGGCGCGCGUUCUGCUGUUUCUGUUACGUGUACGCUCCUGAUGGCCUUUUCCCUCUUUUUUUUUCGCUGUUGCGGUGGUACACGUAAUCUGUGGCGCCCGGUUUUUUUGUUCUCUCUCAUUGCCACGCAAGUGUGCAUCACUCGACUCACCGUGCGAGAACGUGAAAGAGCCACUUCCUCCGCUUUCUGUCUGUCUCUGCCGGUAUUGAGGGCUGCUCCUGUGCCACGGAGGGGAAUUGGAGCACACCCUACUCCUCUUCCCUAGUACUAUAGACUUUACUCGAUUUUUGCUCUCUCCACCUUCCCUUCAUAGUUCCUGGGAUAGAUGGAGGGCUUUCGCGUGCGUUUCUUGUUGGUGCUUCCCCCUCAAUUGGCUGUCGCACUGGCUGUGCCUGCGUCUUCCUCUCUAUCACACGGUAGGCCUCCUCUCCGUCACUCCUUCGGUCUCCACAUGCACAUUGCUGUACUGCUUCCGCUCCUCCGGUCUCUUUUCUCGACCCCCCCUCCUCGCUUGGGUGUCGUGCUCACAUGUUUGCCUUCUCUAUCCCUCCGCCUACCACUUCCCUGUGUCAGGCACAGCAGGCGCAUGUUCUCACUAAGGGACUCUUCCCCCCUUCCCCUACUCACACAGAGACGAAAAAAAGGAGUGACUGUAACGCUCAAGGCUGAUGAAGCCUUGAUUACCCUUAUCGCACGUGUCCGCGUGCAUGCGUGCGAAUGUUUGUGCGUAGAUGGUGGCACAGCCCACGAACGGGGUGCCCCAAACAG